CGCAUUGUGCUUAUGAUAAAUUCUACUUGCAUCUUCACGAGCAGAUUUUGGACAAAGUUAUUCCAUCUGUAGGGUACUAAAUUGAAAAGGAGUUCGGCAUAUCACCCACAUAUCAACGGCCAGACAAAAGUUGUAAAUAGGUGCUUGGAGAUAGCCCAAAGCCACCCACCAAAUAUGACUAUCCAAGGAGAACUCCAGACCCAGCCAAGUGCCAUUAUUGAUCGACGGAUCGUGACUCGACGACGACGACCCACUACUAAAGUGCUAAUAUAGUGGGUGAACCUAUCAACAGAAGAUGCCACUUAGGAGAACUAUGACGACUUGAA
rnacentral:lncRNA from 1 species